rnacentral:rRNA from 1 species
AUUGAACGCUGGCGGCAGGCUUAACACAUGCAAGUCGAGCGGGGUGAUGGUGCUUGCACUAUCACUUAGCGGCGGACGGGUGAGUAAUGCUUAGGAAUCUGCCUAUUAGUGGGGGACAACAUCUCGAAAGGGAUGCUAAUACCGCAUACGUCCUACGGGAGAAAGCAGGGGAUCACUUGUGACCUUGCGCUAAUAGAUGAGCCUAAGUCGGAUUAGCUAGUUGGUGGGGUAAAGGCCUACCAAGGCGACGAUCUGUAGCGGGUCUGAGAGGAUGAUCCGCCACACUGGGACUGAGACACGGCCCAGACUCCUACGGGGGGCAGCAGUGGGGACUAUGGGACAAUGGGGGGAACCCUGAUCCAGCCAUGCCGCGUGUGUGAAGAAGGCCUGAGGGUUGUAAAGCACUUUUAGUGGGGAGGAGGGUGUCUAGGUUAAGAGCUAGGAUAUUGGACGUUACUCACAGAAAAAGCACCGGCUAACUCCGUGCCAGCCGCCGCCGUAA